UGCUAGCUUUGAUUACACAGCACAAUUCGUAUUUCAUUUUGUUGAAGUCAACAACGUAAAGCUGAGGUUUAACCAGAGAAUUCAUAUAUCAAUCUAUCUUCUCGAUGUUCAAUUAUCUAAACCUUAUUGAGCUCAUGUGAUAUAUGCAUUGUGGAACUUAAGUACUCACAUUGUAACAGUGUACGCAUGAGAUGUGACCAAGUGAGUUGUGAUUUGGGAAACCGAAAACCCAGAUGAUGGCGACACAGAACACAGAACACAGAGCAUAAGAAGUAGCAUAUGCGAAUGGGGCUCAAAGUGAAUUAUGCCAUAUAAUUUGUCUGCAGGCAGGUGCUGCUCAUUAAUCUUUUGCUCGCUUUUCAGUCGCCUCUCUCGCCGCUACACUCAAUCGCUUAGUUUAGCACACUCUUGGGGAGGGCUCCAUAUAACACACACACAGCCCCAACACACACACACACACACUCACGCAUAUACGCAUACACUUUGCACACAGACAUUUACUUACAUAGAUAAGCUUCUCGCUUUCCGUUUCAGAUUUUUUCGCCUUUACCCACCUGGCGGUUUUAUGCCUAAUGGAUUUGUGCUUUGAUGUGCAAACGGUUUAUACCAUAUUAGGUUACAUAUCUACAUACACAUAUCUCUCCAUGUGUCUGUCGGUGUGUGUGUGUGCUCUGUACGCAUGUGUGCGUGUGCUGAAGUGUCUACAUUAGAGGCCAUCACUUGCAGUCCUAAGCUUUUUUUUCCACCCAACACAGUGAGGCGCACAUAAAUUUGUUUCGAAAUGGCCAUAUAAGGGCUAUAAUUCUGAGCCUUGCCUGAUUCGCUGUUAAUGGCCAAAUGGUGGGUGUUGUGUUUGCUUUUAAAAUUAACAAGAAAGUCUUAAAAAAUGUCGAAGAUCAAAUACUCUUAAAAUGCAAGGAUACUAUGUAUGCGAAGUUGUCUUGCUUUUGUCGUUGUCCUUGUCCUCUUUGUCUCAGCAAAAAAAUUGAAUUUCUCUGUUUACCAUCUAAAUUACCAUAUGUAUGGAGAAAACGUGUUUGGUUUACUUUGCUGAUGAAAUUUGCAAGCGCUGAGUUCGUGUAUUCUCAAAGAAAUUUCUAUUUAAUUUAAUUUUAUUUUAUUUUUAAAAUUGGAAUUUGUUUUUACACACCACAAUUUGUUACUUAAUUUAAAUUUAAAUGGUUUUUCAUGUUAACAUUUAAAAAUUUACUCGAUUCGAUUU